rnacentral:misc_RNA from 1 species
GAAAUGCGAUACGUAGUGUGAAUUGCAGAAUUCCGUGAACCAUCGAAUCUUUGAACGCAUAUUGCGCUCGAGCCCUCGGGCAAGAGCAUGUCUGCCUCAGCGUCGGUUUAACCCCUCACCCCUCUCUUCUUUUGGAGAGUCGGUUGGCUUUCAGUCAGCCUCAGGGGUGGAACUGGCUUCCCCAAUUCUUACUGGAUUGGGUUGGCUGAAGUACAGAGGCUUAAUCAAGGACCCGAUAUGGGCUUCAACUGGAUAGGUAGCACCGGCUUUGCCGACUACACGAAGUUGUGGCUUGUGGACUUUGAUAGGGGCCAAGCAGGAAAACUAAACUUUCGACCUGAGCUCAGGCAAGGCUACCCGCUGAACUUAA